rnacentral:pre_miRNA from 1 species
GUUCACUUGUGUGUUGAUAGUGUUCAGUACCAAGAACAGGCAUGUCUACCUGUGUGUAGAUGGUGUUCAGCACCAAGGACAGGUAUGCCUAUCU